AUUGAACGCUGGCGGCAGGCCUAACACAUGCAAGUCGAGCGAGCGGCGGACGGGUGAGUAAUGUAUGGGGACUGCCCGAUAGAGGGGGAUAACUACUGGAAACGGUCGCUAAUACCGCAUACUAUCGGAUAACCCAUAUGGGAUUAGCUAGUAGGUGGGGUAAAGGCUCACCUAGGCGACGAUCCCUAGCGGGUAUGAGAGGAUGAUCAGCCACACUGGAACAGAGACAGGGCCCAGACUCCGACGGGGGCAGCAGUGGGGAAUAUUGCACGAUGGGGGAAAGCCGGAUGCAGCCAUGCGGCGUGUAUGAAGAAGGCCUGAGGGUGGGAGAGUACUGACAGCGGGGAGGCGGUACCCGCAGAAGAAGCACCGGCUAACUCCGUGCCAGCAGCCGCGGUAAUAC
rnacentral:rRNA from 1 species